CAGUAGCCGCGGGAAUACGUAGGGUGCGAGCGUUAAUCGGAAUUACUGGGCGUAAAGCGUGCGCAGGCGGUCGUGUAAGACAGGUGUGAAAUCCCCGGGCUUAACCUGGGAACUGCGCUUGUGACUGCACAGCUAGAGUAUGGCAGAGGGGGGUGGAAUUCCACGUGUAGCAGUGAAAUGCGUAGAGAUGUGGAGGAACACCGAUGGCGAAGGCAGCCCCCUGGGCCAAUACUGACGCUCAUGCACGAAAGCGUGGGGAGCAAACAGGAUUAGAUACCCGGGUAGUCCCUGUCUCUUAUAC
rnacentral:rRNA from 1 species